AAGGCAUGGGCGUCACAGGUCCCUUGGAGAGCACUUGUCUCAUGGGAUGCUUGAGGACUCCUGCAUUGAGGUCACAGGGUGGAUCCAGCCCUGCUCACACCAACAGUGUCACAGUUCCCUCUGUCACAUGGCAGCCAUCACCCAAAGGGACACCUGAAUGCUCGUGACAUGCUACACCUGCUCACACAUGGCUGUGGGAUUCCUGUAAAUGUGGGAUUUGGGGGCAUUUUGGCAGCUCUCUUAAUCUGUCACACGUUUGCAAGAAGCUGCCAAAGAUAAUACACAACCUGUCAUAGUAACAAGAUCAUCAGAAGGAAAACUGAAGAGAUAAUAAACCGGCAGGAAAGCUGAAGACUCGCUUUGGAAGCCAGAAGGAGGCAGUGCCAUAUGGAGCACAUGGAUUUGCUUCUGGGAAUGCGUGUUGGUGAUUGAUUCACAGAGGCUGUAACAGGAGGGCAGUAAGGAUAAGGAGGGCAUUAAGGACGGAACGGGAGCAUCAGCCCGUUCCCAUAGCUGGAAACCAGAGGCUGCGUGGGCAAGGCACAGGGCUGGGAGCAGCCCAGGACACCCUCACUUUGGGGAGAGGUUGUCAAAUGGGGGAAAACAGCUCCAAAUCUGCUGCUGCAGUUCUUCAAGGAGGACGAGUUUAGGUCCAUCACAGGAUAACCA